rnacentral:rRNA from 1 species
CUGCAACUCGCCUGCAUGAAGCUGGAAUUGCUAGUAAUGGCAGGUCAGCAUACUGCCGUGAAUACGUUCCCGGGACCUUGUACACACCGCCCGUCACACCAUGAGAGUUGGGAAUACCCGAAGCCUGUGAGCUAACUUAUAGAGGCAGCAGUCGAAGGUAGAAUCAAUGAUUGGGGUGAAGUCGUAACAAGGUACC